GAUGAACGCUGGCGGCGUGCCUAAUACAUGCAAGUCGAGCGAACAGACGAGGAGCUUGCUCCUCUGACGUUAGCGGCGGACGGGUGAGUAACACGUGGAUAACCUACCUAUAAGACUGGGACAACUUCGGGAAACCGGAGCUAAUACCGGAUAAUAUAUUGAACCGCAUGGUUCAAUAGUGAAAGACGGUUUUGCUGUAAUUUAUAGAUGAAUCCGCGCCGCAUUAGCUAGUUGGUAAGGUAACGGCUUACCAAGGCGACGAUGAUUAGCCGACCUGAGAGGGUGAUGGGCCCCACGGGACUUGAGACACGGUCAAGACUCCUACGGGAGGCAGAAGUAGGGAAUCUUCCGCAAUGGGCGAAAGCCUGCCGGAGCAACGCCGGGUGAGUGAUGAAGGUCUUCGGAUCGUAAGACUCUGUUAUUAGGGAAGAACAAAUGUGUAAGUAACUAUGCACGUCUUGACGGUACCUAAUCAGAAAGCCACGGCUAACUACGUG
rnacentral:rRNA from 1 species